rnacentral:lncRNA from 1 species
CUCCUUAAUCAUCAAAGAGAUUUUUGUUGUCAAAAUAAACUGACAACAAACAAACAAACAGUUGUGGACGGAAAUCUAAACUGAAACAAAACAAUAAAAGGUAGAUUGCAUUUUGUAUAUUCAGCUCUGAUCUUUACAUAGAACGAUUUGGUCUCUCUAAUAACUUGAACAUCAAAGGUAACAUCAACAUUCACUUUGUCGUUAAAAUAAGUUUUCGCAGAUAUUUUAUUGUGUAUUUUGUUUGACCAAAAUCAUUAUUCAUUAGAUAUUUUGCAUAUGAAAAAAUAUGAAAAAAUGAAGAAAAAAUUCAAAUAUUAUAUGCAACAAAAUGAAACAAUAAAGAC